rnacentral:rRNA from 1 species
AGUGAACGCUGGCGGUAGGCCUAACACAUGCAAGUCGAACGGCAGCACAGUAAGAGCUUGCUCUUACGGGUGGCGAGUGGCGGACGGGUGAGGAAUACAUCGGAAUCUACUUUUUCGUGGGGGAUAACGUAGGGAAACUUACGCUAAUACCGCAUACGACCUACGGGUGAAAGCAGGGGAUCUUCGGACCCUGCGCGAUUGAAUGAGCCGAUGUCGGAUUAGCUAGUUGGCGGGGUAAAGGCCCACCAAGGCGACGAUCCGUAGCUGGUCUGAGAGGAUGAUCAGCCACACUGGAACUGAGACACGGUCCAGACUCCUACGGGAGGCAGCAGUGGGGAAUAUUGGACAAUGGGCGAAAGCCUGAUCCAGCCAUACCGCGUGGGUGAAGAAGGCCUUCGGGUUGUAAAGCCCUUUUGUUGGGAAAGAAAAGCAGCAGGUUAAUACCCCGCUGUUCUGACGGUACCCAAAGAAUAAGCACCGGCUAACUUCGUG